rnacentral:sRNA from 1 species
UAGGAUCCGAUCAGCCGGCGGAGGUACGC